UACGUAGGGUGCAAGCGUUAAUCGGAAUUACUGGGCGUAAAGCGUGCGCAGGCGGUUGUGCAAGACAGAUUUGAAAUCCCCGGGCUUAACCUGGGAACUGCAUUUGUGACUGCACGGCUAGAGUGUGUCAGAGGGGGGUAGAAUUCCACGUGUAGCAGUGAAAUGCGUAGAUAUGUGGAGGAAUACCGAUGGCGAAGGCAGCCCCCUGGGAUAACACUGACGCUCAUGCACGAAAGCGUGGGGAGCAAACAGG
rnacentral:rRNA from 1 species